CGCUCCUAACUUUUCAUAAUGAGACAUGGAAAUGGGUUUGCAUGAAACAUACACUGCGGUAAACACAAUGUAUCUCAGUACAGGGUGUUCUUGGUUUACGACGACCCGACCUGACAUACGACGGUGCGUGAUGAUGUGCGUCGGCGGAAGGCACGCUCAGUUAGGGCCGAAAUGGUUACUGUUUUUCAUUUGUUUUAUGUUUUUGAGCUAAAGAGUUUUUUUUUCAUCCAAUGGGAAUAAAGUAAAUGCUCAGUGGCCUGGACUAAAGAAGCAGACGAAAGAACGAAGCAGGGCAUGUGGUCGGGGUACCAUACUUUGCAUAUAUCUCUGAUAUAAAUGAUUUAUAUUGUUCAUCAGUACAUAUACGAUAUGUAAAUUGUAAGGGGGUUUGUAAUCUAUUCUACUCUAUAAAACACUUAUCAAGCCACAAAGUGAUGUUCCAUAUUUGCAUCCUAUGGCAGUUGUCUCUGUUAAAAAAAUGCAGUAUCUUCACAGUUGUUGUCUGAGCUGUUGGCUGCUCUUAUCUGCUGCCAACACAACGAGGCUGCCUGCAGGAGGGAGGAACACGCACAGCAGUUGGACUGGACCACCAGAUAAAGCGACUCAGACAGGCAGCCAGCCAGAGUCAGCUGCAAUUUGGGCUGAACAUUUCCUUGGGCUUGACAGUUGUUGGACGAUCUACUGUUGACUUUUUGGAUAUAAACUGUAGACCAAGCAGGGAAAGCCCAGCGGCAAGGGGGCAUUGGCAGCACUUCUUGAUGGAGAUAAAACUGCACUCUUCAAAUAAAAACUAUCUUGGUCUUAACUCA